CCUACGGGAGGCAGCAGUGGGGAAUAUUGGACAAUGGGCGAAAGCCUGAUCCAGCAAUUCCGCGUGUGUGAAGAAGGCCUUCGGGUUGUAAAGCACUUUAGUGGGGGAAGAAACAGCUUGGCCACACCAAGCCUUGACGGUACCCCAAGAAUAAGCACCGGCUAACUCUGUGCCAGCAGCCGCGGUAAUACAGAGGGUGCAAGCGUUAAUCGGAUUUACUGGGCGUAAAGGGUGCGUAGGUGGCUAUUUAAGUCGGAUGUGAAAGCCCGGGGCUCAACCUCGGAAUUGCAUUCGAUACUGAGUGGCUAGAGUUCGGUAGAGGGCGGCGGAAUUUCCGGUGUAGCGGUGAAAUGCGUAGAUAUCGGAAGGAACAUCAAUGGCGAAGGCAGCCGCCUGGGCCUGGACUGACACUGAGGCACGAAAGCGUGGGUAGCAAACAGGAUUAGAUACCCUGGUAGUCCACGCCGUAAACGAUGAGAACUUGACGUUGGUUCGUUUUACGAAUCGGUGUCGCNGCUACGCGAUAAGUUCUCCGUCCGUCGGGAGGUACGGCCGCGAGGUUAGUAACGUACGAAGGAAGUAGACGGCGUGAGACGUGCCGACGGACGACGACGAGGGAGGUAGG
rnacentral:rRNA from 1 species